rnacentral:rRNA from 1 species
AGCGGCGGACGGGUGAGUAACGCGUGGGUAACCUGCCCUGUACACACGGAUAACAUACCGAAAGGUAUGCUAAUACGAGAUAAUAUACUUUUAUCGCAUGGUAGAAGUAUCAAAGCUCCGGCGGUACAGGAUGGACCCGCGUCUGAUUAGCUAGUUGGUAAGGUAACGGCUUACCAAGGCGACGAUCAGUAGCCGACCUGAGAGGGUGAUCGGCCACAUUGGAACUGAGACACGGUCCAAACUCCUACGGGAGGCAGCAGUGGGGAAUAUUGCACAAUGGGCGAAAGCCUGAUGCAGCAACGCCGCGUGAGCGAUGAAGGCCUUCGGGUCGUAAGGCUCUGUCCUCAAGGAAGAUAAUGACGGUACUUGAGGAGGAAGCCCCGGCUAACUACGUGCCAGCAGCCGCGGUAAUACGUAGGGGGCUAGCGUUAUCCGGAAUUACUGGGCGUAAAGGGUGCGUAGGUGGUUUCUUAAGUCAGAGGUGAAAGGCUACGGCUCAACCGUAGUAAGCCUUUGAAACUGGGAAACUUGAGUGCAGGAGAGGAGAGUGGAAUUCCUAGUGUAGCGGUGAAAUGCGUAGAUAUUAGGAGGAACACCAGUUGCGAAGGCGGCUCUCUGGACUGUAACUGACACUGAGGCACGAAAGCGUGGGGAGCAAACAGGAUUAGAUACCCUGGUAGUCCACGCCGUAAACGAUGAGUACUAGCUGU